rnacentral:lncRNA from 1 species
UAAGAUAAUCAGGCAACUUGUCUCGCUAGCCUUAUUAUUCAGACCCUAGCUUAAUUUGUCAACAUGUCAUUCUGACCUUGGCUUAGCCUGUCAUUCGGACCUUGACUCAGCUGAGACUCAACUCACACUUUCGGCAGGUUAUUGGCUCUGAUACCAAAUGUAACGACCCAGCCCACUAGCAAUUAUAAACUCAUUGGGUCCAAACGAUAAGCUCAGCUAUUAUUACUAGUGUUCAUGAUCUGUUAUAUAUUUAAUUAAAAUACAAUUUCCAUCCGAUGUGGGACUAUUAGGAUGUCACGC